CCUUCUCCUUGCUUAAGAAAAUAGACUCUGGGGACAUUCUGCCCACCCCCUCUGCUGGAACACAAUGGCAAGCUCAUAUCUUGCUUGGCUCCCUGUGUGUCCAG